rnacentral:rRNA from 1 species
UGAUGCNGCAACGCCGCGUGGAGGANGACACAUUUCGGUGCGUAAACUCCUUUUAUAUGAGAAGAUAAUGACGGUAUUAUAUGAAUAAGCACCGGCUAACUCCGUGCCAGCAGCCGCGGUAAUACGGGGGGUGCAAGCGUUACUCGGAAUCACUGGGCGUAAAGAGCAUGUAGGCGGAUUAAUAAGUUUGAAGUGAAAUCCUAUAGCUUAACUAUAGAACUGCUUUGAAAACUGUUAAUCUAGAAUGUGGGAGAGGUAGAUGGAAUUUCUGGUGUAGGGGUAAAAUCCGUAGAGAUCAGAAGGAAUACCGAUUGCGAAGGCGAUCUACUGGAACAUUAUUGACGCUGAGAUGCGAAAGCGUGGGGAGCAAACAGGAUUAGAUACCCUGGUAGUCCACGCCCUAAACGAUGUACACUAGUUGUUGUGAGACUUGAUCUUGCAGUAAUGCAGUUAACACAUUAAGUGUACCGCCUGGGGAGUACGGUCGCAAGAUUAAAACUCAAAGGAAUAGACGGGGACCCGCACAAGCGGUGGAGCAUGUGGUUUAAUUCGACGAUACACGAAGAACCUUACCUGGACUUGACAUAGUAAGAACUUUCUAGAGAUAGAUUGGUGUCUGCUUGCAGAAACUUAUAUACAGGUGCUGCACGGCUGUCGUCAGCUCGUGUCGUGAGAUGUUGGGUUAAGUCCCGCAACGAGCGCAACCCUCGUGUUUAGUUGCUAACAGUUCGGCUGANAACUCUAAACAGACUGCCUACGCAAGUAGGAGGAAGGUGAGGACGACGUCAAGUCAUCAUGGCCCUUACGUCCAGGGCUACACACGUGCUACAAUGGGAUAUACAAAGAGCGGCAAUACGGUGACGUGGAGCAAAUCUUAUAAAAUAUCUCCCAGUUCGGAUUGUAGUCUGCAACUCGACUACNUGAAGUUGGAAUCGCUAGUAAUCGUAGAUCAGCUAUGCUANGNUGA